rnacentral:rRNA from 1 species
CAGUCGCCGCGGUAAUACGGAGGGUGCAAGCGUUAUCCGGAUUUAUUGGGUUUAAAGGGUCCGUAGGCGGAUCUGUAAGUCAGUGGUGAAAUCUCACAGCUUAACUGUGAAACUGCCAUUGAUACUGCAGGUCUUGAGUAAAUUUGAAGUGGCUGGAAUAAGUAGUGUAGCGGUGAAAUGCAUAGAUAUUACUUAGAACACCAAUUGCGAAGGCAGGUCACUAAGAUUUAACUGACGCUGAUGGACGAAAGCGUGGGGAGCGAACAGGAUUAGAUACCCGUGUAGUCCCUGUCUCUUAUAU